CAUGAAGCUGGAAUCGCUAGUAAUCGCGAAUCAGAAUGUCGCGGUGAAUACGUUCCCGGGUCUUGUACACACCGCCGUCACACCAUGGGAGUCGGGAACGCCCGAAGCCGGUGACCGAACCCUAACGGGGAGGAGCCGUCGAAGGCGGGCCUGGUGACUGGGGUGAAGUCGUAACAAGGUAGC
rnacentral:rRNA from 1 species